UGGCAGGAUUAAUUGUCUCAGGUGCUGUAGGGCAGAGGAUUACUAGCAGUGGCCUCAUGGGGCGCUAUAAAGGGCAAAGAAGCCUUCACUCGGCCAGGGGCAGCAUUUGGCCAUUGGAACCGCCCACUUCCUGUUUUCACACCUCCGGCUAGCCUCACAGGUAAAGUAGCGGUGGUAGGCUAAGGACAAGAGUUUGUUCGCUGCCUCAUAUUAACACACUCUUUCAGCUCCGGAUGAGACCUGCAGGCACAGAUUGAGCAAAAUACAGCCUCUGCAAUCGAGCGCGCCUCCCAGGUGACGAACAGUCUGUCUGCGCCGGGGACUUUCUGACGCUCCCACCUGCUGAACAGCUGCUGCUUUUUAUAUAUUGAAUUUUAGAAUUAUUUUAAGGAACUGUCACCGCUCGUGAUCAGAAUCCCUGUAGACUCCUGACCAGGGUUCUGCCGGGCCCGGCUGCUCCUCAGCUGCCUUUGAGCCUGAGCAACGGAGGACUAACGGGGCGUCACGCCUGAAUCCUCCACCAACGAGAAUAAAAGCUCGGCCGCGCUCCGUUCAUUGAGCAGCACCCUACGGGCGGACUUACUCUCACGAGAGUUUCUUUUAUUUUGUUUUUAGCAUUUUUACACAAUUCUUUUAGACCUGUGUUUUAACUGGAUUUUAUUGUGUGAUCCACCUUUGUUUCCCCCCUCCCUCAGUGCUGAGGACUCAGGUGCCAGCCCAGAAUUCUAGGUGGAGGCUAUCCCCCCAGUUUGGAGUGACGUGUCCUUGGGUGAAGGUUUCACAGUGUGUGUGUGGUCUGCAUCACAAGCAGCAGCUGGUUCCGCUUGGAAGUGAGGAAGGUGAUUUGUGCAAGUGCUGAGGACUCAGGUGCCAGCCCAGAAUUCUAGGUGGAGGCUAUCCCCCCAGUUUGGAGUGACGUGUCCUUGGGUGAAGGUUUCACAGUGUGUGUGUGGUCUGCAUCACGUGAGUGGGGUGAAAUUUUAUCUUUGUUCUCUGGGAGCCUCCACCUCCCUUAAGUCUUCUGGUCCUCAGCAUACUGAAUUUGUUGUGUAUGUCUUUUAACGGGUCCAUUUUUAAUUGGUUUUAAUGUUUUGUAAUAAAAUCAUUUUAAUUUUUGUA